rnacentral:rRNA from 1 species
AGAUGAGAUUUCCCUUAGCGCAAGCUAGUAAGAUCCCUGAAAGAUGAUCAGGUAGAUAGGUUCGGGGUGGAAGCGUGGCGACACGUGGAGCUGACGAAUACUAAUCGAUCGAGGACUUAACCAAAA